rnacentral:piRNA from 1 species
UCCGACCCAAGGGAAAACAUGUUUCUCCCA